CAAGACACUGGCUAAAGCACACAGAGUAGUGAGUAUUCACUUUUUUCUACAACUUUUCAGUGACUAGGAAACAGAUAAUACACCAGCUGACUGGUCUGCUUGGCAGGUACCGAACCUGGUGUCUACUUUAUGUCUGUCUCCUGAAGACUCUGCAAAAAUCCUCCCUGAUGCAGCAACAGACACGUAGGCUUCCUCUGUUCAGGCUCCUUAUUCAGGCUUCCUGGAGGCUCACCUCAAACUUUCCUCUUCAAAGAGCUUGACAUUCGUCUUAAACUUCCAAAACAUUUUUUCCUGAACGAAUGCAGCAGUUUGUGUAAGCCCAUCUGGAAGCCAGCUUCACAGACCAUUUCCAGGGCAGCAAGCAGUACGGGUUUCCUGAGACCAAACAAACCAGUGCCAGCCUAACACAGGGAGACCUGGCUCCAUUAAGGGCUAUCUUAUCAGUGUGCUGUCUGACCUUUUCUUACCCACACUGUAACUGCACCUCUCACAUGCAUGUCAGCGUGAGGAGUAACGUCCUUGAAGACUGCUCUAAAGAAAAGCACAUGUUGCAACAGCAGACAGAAGACUGACUCAUUUUUAUUCCCCACAAACCAAAACUGUAUCAUCCAGCAUACUCUCAGCAUGUGCACUCAAACUUAAUCCAGUGUAAUUUACAGCCUGCCAGCCACCAGCUCACUGCCUUUCCCAUCCCAAGAGUGUGCUGAGCUUCCUCUGCUGCCACAAACCUGGGUGCGACAGCUGUGGGACCACCUCCAGACACCGCCGUCUGUCGAGGCAUCAGACGUGCUUCCUGCAGCCCAGACUGUGUCUCCAUGCUGAGCCAGCUCUUUGAUAAGAACUUUGCAGAUAGUUCAGUAUAACUUUGCUUUUUGCUGAAAGGAAAGGAUUUUCUGGUUUUGGAAAACAAACCCAUUACUUGGUGGAGAUCACCAGUACUCCAGCCCUCUUCUCAUAAGUUUCUCCAAGGAAAAUCUUUUAAAAGGGACCUUUUAGUCUCUCCUGCAGAUUACUCUCUU